GGUUUUGAUCAUGGCUCAGAUUGAACGCUGGCGGGAUCUUCACAUGCAAGUCGAACGGCAGCACGGACUUCGGUCUGGUGGCGAGUGGCGAACGGGUAGUGUAUCAGGUGUGCCUGAAGUAGCGGGGAUAACUACGCGAAAGCGUAGCUAAUACCGCAUACGCCCUUCGGGGAAAGCGGGGGGACCUUCGGGCCUCGCACUAUUAGAGCGGCCGAUAUCGGAUUAGCUGAUUGGUGGGGUAACGGCUCACCAAGGCGACGAUCCGUAGCUGGUUGAGAGGACGACCAGCCACACUGGGACUGGACACAGCCCAGACUCCUACGGGAGGCAGCAGUGGGGGAAUUUUGGACAAUGGGGGAAACCCUGAUCCAGCCAUCCCGCGUGUGCGAUGAAGGCCUUCGGGUUGUAAAGCACUUUUGGCAGGAGGAAAGAAACGGCACGGGAUAAUACCCCGUGCAACGACCAACCUGCAAGAAUGAAAAGCACCGGCUAACUACGUGCCGGCCAGCCGCGGUAAUACCACGUAGGGUGCAAGCGUUAAUCGGAAUUACUGGGCGUAAAGCGGCCGCCGACGGUUCGGAAGAAAGAUGUGAAAUCCCAGGCUUAACUUUGGAACUGCAUUUUUAACUACCGAGCUAGAGUGUCAGAGGAGGUGGAAUUCCGCGUAUGUGAAAGUGAAAUGCGUAGAUAUGCGGAGGAACACCGAUGGCGAAGGCAACCUCCUGGGAUAACACACGACGCUCAUGCACGAAAGCGUGGGGAGCAAACAGGAUUAGAUACCCUGGUAGUCCACGCCCGGCAAUCAACUAGCUGUUGGGCCUUCGGGCCUUGGUAGCGCAACUAACGCGUCAGUUAACGACCGCCUGGAGUACCCGGUCGCAAGAUUAAAACUCAAAGGAAUUGACGGGGACCCGCACAAGCGGUGGAUAAGUGUGAUUAAUUCGAUGCAACGCGAGAAACCUUACCUACCCUUGACAUGUCUGGAAUCCGAAAAGAUUUGGGAGUGCUCGCAAGAGAACCGGAACACAGGUGCUGCAUGGCUGUCGUCAGCUCGUGUCGUGAGAUGUUGGGUUAAGUCCCGCAACGAGCGCAACCCUUGUCGUGGAUUGCUACGAAAGGGCACUCUAAUGAGACUGCCGGUGACAAACCGGAGGAAGGUGGGGAUGACGUCAAGUCCUCAUGGCCCUUAUGGGUAGGGCUUCACACGUCAUACAGCUGGUCGGGACGGGGGUCGCCAACCCGCGAGGGGGAGCCAAUCCCAGGAAACCCGAUCGUAGUCCGGAUCGCAGUCUGCACAACUCGACUGCGUGAAGUCGAAUCGCCCAGUAAUCGCGGAUCAGCAUGUCAUAGGUGAAUACGUUCCCGGGUCUUGUACACACCGCCCGUCACACCAUGGGAGUGGGUUUUACCAGAAGUAGUUAGCCUAACCGUAAGGAGGGCGAUUACCACGGUAGGAUUCAUGACUGGGGUGAAGUCGUAACAAGGUAG
rnacentral:rRNA from 1 species